GCAGUUCCUUGCCAAUUUUUGAUAGCAUUGCGUUCAUCCACUUUCUCAGGCAGGGACUAUAGGAAAUGAAGGUGAACUCGUGGAGAUUUUGGAGAGAAUUUAAUGAAGAGGCUGUUUACCAAGGAUCUCUCUCUGUCUCCGAGGCUGGAGUGCAAUGUUGCAAUCAGGGCUCACUGCAGCCUCGACCUCCUGGGCUCAACUGAUCUUCGUACCACAGCCUCAUGAGUAACUGGGACUACAGACGACCAUGGGCAUUUUUUCUAUGCAACUACAGAUAGUAUCUCAUGAUAUGAAUGGUCCUGGAUUUACUUACACAUCCUCCUUUGGAUGAGCAAGCACUGGUUCUGGUGGACACUGAGAGACAAUUUUUAUUUGCUGCACGUGGAAAGGACAACAACAUACCUGGACAGAAAUGCCUCGAGGAUGUACUGAAGGCCCCUCUCACUUUUCACAGCCAUAACUGUAAGUUUCCUGGGGCCUCUCCAGAAGACAAGCAGAUGCCGCUAUGCUUCCUGAACAGCCCACAGAACUAGACGAGGUUUCACCAUGCUAGCCAGGAUGUUCUUGAUCUCCUGACCUCAUGAUCUGCCCGCCUCGGCCUCCCAGUGUGCUGGGAUUACAGGCGUGAGCCACCGUGCCCAGCCAA
rnacentral:misc_RNA from 1 species